CCCAGACUCCUACGGGAGGCAGCAGUGGGGAAUAUUGCACAAUGGGGGAAACCCUGAUGCAGCGACGCCGCGUGGGCGAAGAAGUAUUUCGGUAUGUAAAGCCCUAUCAGCAGGGAAGAAGAAAUGACGGUACCUGAGUAAGAAGCACCGGCUAAAUACGUGCCAGCAGCCGCGGUAAUACGUAUGGUGCAAGCGUUAUCCGGAUUUACUGGGUGUAAAGGGGGCGCAGACGGCGAUGCAAGCCAGGAGUGAAAGCCCGGGGCCCAACCCCGGGACUGCUCUUGGAACUGCGUGGCUGGAGUGCAGGAGGGGCAGGCGGAAUUCCUGGUGUAGCGGUGAAAUGCGUAGAUAUCAGGAGGAACACCGGCGGCGAAGGCGGCCUGCUGGACCGUGACUGACGUUGAGGCUCGAGAGCGUGGGGAGCAAACAGGAUUAGAUACCCUAGUAC
rnacentral:rRNA from 1 species